UGCAAGUCGAACGGUGAAGCGAGAGCUUGCUCUCGUGGAUCAGUGGCGAACGGGUGAGUAACACGUGAGUAACCUGCCCCAGACUCUGGGAUAAGCCUUGGAAACGAGGUCUAAUACCGGAUACGAGACGAGAUCGCAUGGUCAUCGUCUGGAAAGAAUUUCGGUCUGGGAUGGACUCGCGGCCUAUCAGCUUGUUGGUGAGGUAAUGGCUCACCAAGGCGACGACGGGUAGCCGGCCUGAGAGGGCGACCGGCCACACUGGAACUGAGACACGGUCCAGACUCCUACGGGAGGCAGCAGUGGGGAAUAUUGCACAAUGGGCGCAAGCCUGAUGCAGCGACGCCGCGUGGGGGAUGAAGGCCUUCGGGUUGUAAACCCCUUUCAGCAGGGAAGAAGCGAAAGUGACGGUACCUGCAGAAGAAGCGCCGGCUAACUACGUGCCAGCAGCCGCGGUAAUACGUAGGGCGCAAGCGUUGUCCGGAAUUAUUGGGCGUAAAGAGCUCGUAGGCGGUUUGUCGCGUCUGCUGUGAAAACCCGAGGCUCAACCUCGGGCCUGCAGUGGGUACGGGCAGACUAGAGUGUGGUAGGGGAGACUGGAAUUCCUGGUGUAGCGGUGGAAUGCGCAGAUAUCAGGAGGAACACCAAUGGCGAAGGCAGGUCUCUGGGCCACUACUGACGCUGAGGAGCGAAAGCAUGGGGAGCGAACAGGAUUAGAUACCCUGGUAGUCCAUGCCGUAAACGGUGGGCACUAGAUGUGGGGCUCUUUCCAUGAGUUCCGCGUCGCAGCUAACGCAUUAAGUGCCCCGCCUGGGGAGUAC
rnacentral:rRNA from 1 species